rnacentral:rRNA from 1 species
GACGAACGCUGGCGGCGUGCCUAAUACAUGCAAGUAGAACGCACAGUUUAUACCGUAGCUUGCUACACCAUAGACUGUGAGUUGCGAACGGGUGAGUAACGCGUAGGUAACCUGCCUGGUAGCGGGGGAUAACUAUUGGAAACGAUAGCUAAUACCGCAUAAUAUUAAUUAUUGCAUGAUAAUUAAUUGAAAGGUGCAAUUUCACCACUACCAGAUGGACCUGCGUUGUAUUAGCUAGUAGGUGAGGUAACGGCUCACCUAGGCGACGAUACAUAGCCGACCUGAGAGGGUGAUCGGCCACACUGGGACUGAGACACGGCCCAGACUCCUACGGGAGGCAGCAGUAGGGAAUCUUCGGCAAUGGACGAAAGUCUGACCGAGCAACGCCGCGUGAGUGAAGAAGGUUUUCGGAUCGUAAAGCUCUGUUGUAAGAGAAGAACGGGUGUGAGAGUGGAAAGUUCACACUGUGACGGUAUCUUACCAGAAAGGGACGGCUAACCACGUG